GAGUUUGAUCAUGGCUCAGAACGAACGCUGGCGGCAGGCUUAACACAUGCAAGUCGAACGGUUGUAGCAAUACAGCAGUGGCGCACGGGUGAGUAAUACUUGGGAACGUGCCUUUCAGUCUGGGAUAACGUCGGGAAACUGACGCUAAUACCGGAUACUCCCUCCGGGGGAAAGUUUUUCGCUGAAAGAUCGGCCCAAGCCAGAUUAGCUAGUUGGUGAGGUAAUGGCUCACCAAGGCUACGAUCUGUAGCUGGUCUGAGAGGACGGCCAGCCACACUGGAACUGAGACACGGUCCAGACUCCUACGGGAGGCAGCAGUGGGGAAUAUUGGACAAUGGGGGAAACCCUGAUCCAGCCAUGCCGCGUGAGUG
rnacentral:rRNA from 1 species